CAAUAGCGUAUAUUAAAGUUGUUGCAGUUAAAAAGCUCGUAGUUGGAUUUCUGGAUGGAGCGACCGGUCGGGCAUUAAUUUGUCUGCACUGGAGUCGGUUCCGUCCAUCCUCUUGGAAAGUGCGUCGGGCAUUAAGGUGUUUGGCGUAUGAUCCAAGUCGUUUACUGUGAAAAAAUUAGAGUGUUUAAAGCAGGCCUUCGCCUUGAAUACAUUAGCAUGGAAUAAUAAGAUAGGACUUUGGUCUAUUUUGUUGGUUUGCAGACCGAAGUAAUGAUUAAUAGGGAUAGUUGGGGGUAUUUAUAUUCCGAUGUCAGAGGUGAAAUUCUUAGAUUUUCGGAAGAUAAACUUAUGCGAAAGCAUUUACCAAGGAUGUUUUCAUUAA
rnacentral:rRNA from 1 species